ACGGGCAAGUGGUCACCCUUGGGUUUGAAUCCUUCCUCAUCGGCAGCCCAGGUCAAAGUGAAUUUCUCGCCUUCAGGGGAAACCCAGUAGGAAGAUCCCUUGUUGGUGUUGCCCAUAACGUCCUCGUAGGUGGCUUUGCCG